UUCUUGUGGAAAACUGCUGUGACCAAAUGUUCCAGAGCAGCCUUUAUAAGGGUCAUCCCAGGUGAGGCAUUGGCUUGAGAGGAAAGUAGAAGGCAAGUGGUGAUCACUAAGCAGCUAAAGGAGGAUGUGCAGGGAUGAGACCCAUGGACCACAGCAUGCUGAAAUGUCUCUUCUCCCUAUUCUUGCUAACAGUAUCUGCAUCAGGCACUCUAUCCAACGCAGCCAUUACUACUAUCCAAACACUAUCUAAUACAGCCAGUGCAAACCAACCAUCCAACACAGCCACUUCAUCCAGUGUAACCACACCAUCCUGUACGACCCGUCGAUGUCUGGCCAGCAUGCUGAUUGCGAAAGAAGCUCUGAGUCAGCCACAGUCUCCACGGUGCAUCUCAAUUAUCCGUGUGCCGUUAAUAGUGUAUGAAACUCUGUCUGUCGACACAAAAAACCUCCGCUUCGAGAGUCGUCUGGAAGUCCCGCUG